GUGCCGAGAUGGGUCUGUCUGCGGACCGCAAGAGAGGGGCGUGCCGUUAAGGGGCGUAACUUUUAGCAGGGGGCGUAACUUUAAGUUGUCCAAGUUACACAGAACCACGCGAGACGUCAGGACGAGAUGUUGUCAUUCUGUCUUCUCUUCUGCCCGCAUAGAGAUACGGCAGCUAAAGGCGUUAUUAAAGUUGCUCAUCCAAGCGCCCUCAUGUUUGUUCGUACUAAUUUUAAUGGAUGGGAAGCCGACUGACGAACAUCCUUUUCCCGAGAAAUGGUUCGGCUACGACACAUGUUGAGAAGUCACGCCAGGGGCUGAAUUAAGGUCGACCGUUUCAGCUGCAUUGAUGUGAAGUGAUGCAGUGGACAACUUGUGAGGGUGAUACCAUCCACAUGCACCUUAACUGUGAUGCAGAAAUACAAUACACUCUUAAAAUGAAUGUGUUAAUUUAACACAUCUCUGUGUUAUUUUUGGAACAACACACUGUGUUGUUUUAACACAUCUUGUGUUGUCCCUUUUAUUUUUUAUGAACUUAAAUGACACUUAAUGUGUUAAAAACAACACAUAAUGUGUUAAAUAGUUUAACACAAAGCAAUGUGUUAAAAUUAACACAUCUAGGGUGUGUUAAUUUUAACACAUUGCUUUUUGUUAAACUAUUUAACACAUUAUGUGUUAAUUUUAACACAUUAUGUGUCAUUUCGUGCUGAUUUAGAGUUCAUAUAAAUAAAAGGGACAACACAAGAUGUGUUAAAACAACACAAAGUGUGUUGUCCUUAACUAGACACAAGAUGUGUUAAUUUAACACAUUCGUUUUAAGAGUGUAGGAUGAUCCAUCUGUCUACACUUCAAAAUCACAACUCAACCUUAAACAUCCCAUAUCUGUUAUGGUAAAACAAUGUGGCGGUUUUCCAGACAGGGCUUAUACUGUUCCCGGGCUAAAAUGCAUGUUUGAGCUACUGUAAUUAAGAAAACACCUUGUACUGACACAUCUCAACAUAUAUCAUUGCCAUUGUUUUGUUUCAAGAUGCACACCAGUCUUGUUUUGUAAGGUUUGUUUGUAAAAACUAAAAUGUCCUAAUAUAAGUGCCCAGUCCUGGUUUAAUCUAAACCAUUGGUGACCAAACCUGUGUCUUGAGAUCUACUGUCCUGCAGAGUUCAGCUCCAACCCCAAUCAAACACACCUGAACCUGCCAAUCAAGCAUUUCAGGGCAACCUUAAAAUUAUAGUCAGGUGUGUUUAAAGCUGGGUUAGAACUAAAAUAUGCAGGAGGGUAGAUCUCCAGGAACAGGGUUGGUCACCCCUGAUCUAAACAAAGGGUUUCCAAACUGUGUCCUGCAAAGCUCUAACCCUAAUCAAACACACCUGAAGCAGCCAAUUAAGGUCUUACUAAGCAUACUAGAAACUUACUGGCAGGUGCUCUGAUGCAAGUAAGAGCUAAACUCUGCAGGACAUCGGCCCUCCAGGACUGAGUUUGGGUACCCCUGACUAAGCCCUGCCUGGGAAACUGCACCAAUGUGUUGAGCUGGCACCAUUGGGACAUUACUGCUGCUGAGAAACAACCACUUUCUCAGCUCUACACAGGGUUGACAUUGGAUGCAUUAUUAUUAUAAAAUGCAUUCAUGUGCACUUUACCAAUACUGUACAUACAUCAACAGCUUCCAGCUAUACACUUGGGAUCAGCUCCUGAUGCCUCUCAUAAUGCUGUGUUAUAAUUUAUUGCAGGGUGAUCUUGCUAAAAGGAUAUUUUUAUAAACCUUUACAAUGUCACCAGAUGUUACAUGUUGUGGAUAGUUAUUUUUAUAAACCUUUACAAUGUCACCAGAUGUUACCUGUUGAGAAUAAUUAUUUUAUAAACCUUUACAAUCUCACCAGUUGUUACAUGUUGUGGAUAGUUAUUUUUAUAAACCUUUACAAUGUCACCAGAUGUUACAUGUUGUGAAUGGUUAUUUUUAUAAACCUUUACAAUGUCACCAGUUGUUACAUGUUGUGCAUAGUUAUUUUUAUAAACCUUUACAAUGUCACCAGAUGUUACCUGUUGUGAAAAGUUAUUUUUAUAAACCGUUACAAUGUCACCAGA